UUCCUGAGCCUCACCUUCCCCCUGGUUAGACCCCUCACCGUGGCAGCAACCCUGUGCCGUGGAGGUUGACAGCAGCGCAUGUGGCCACUGGACAGCAUGAAGGGUGGAGGCAGCUGAGACCAGGCAGAUGGAGCGGACAGAAGCCAGGCUAGCAUAGAACCUACGUACAUCUUUCCGUGUAGUCUGAUCAUAUCUAGGCUACUUAUAAUACCUAGUGCAGUGUAAAUGCCAUAUCAUCGUUGUGAUAUCCUAUUGUUUAGAGAAUAAUGGCCAGAAAGAUCAUCUAUACGUGUUCAGCAUAGAUGGAAUUUUUAAAAUAUUUCUGAUCUGUGAUUGAUUGUGGACGUGAACCCUGCUGCUACGGAGGGCCGGUCGUGCUUGUCUAAAGCGUAAAGGACAUCAGCUGAAACACGAAGUCCCUUAUUGUCCUCACAUUAGUUCUCUGGCCGAAGAUUCUCCCUUGCUAAUGAGCUGUCGGGAUUUGGCGUCCACGCUGAUCUGCUCACAGGUUGUUUUGCUUUAUAAUUACCUGUUACCUGUCUCUCAUGGUUAAUAUUACGGUCGCGCGGGGUGGUU
rnacentral:lncRNA from 1 species